GCCUCUGCCUUCCAAAGUGCUGGGAUUACAGGCAUGCACCACCACACCCAGCUUACUCUGACUAAUCUUUUAUUUCAGUCCCUUCCCCUUCCCUUUCUCCCUCAUUCCCCACUUCCUUUCCUCCCACUUUUCCUUUCUUCCUUCCUCAACUACUUGUUUAAAACCUGUUUCUCUUCUAGGCUAUAAAGAUCCCGUUUCCUUCCAGGCUGGUCUCGAACUCCUGACCUCAGGUGAUACACCCACCUCAGCCUCCCAAAGUGCUAGGAUUACAGGCGUGAGCCACCGUGCCUGGCCUUGAGUGUUACUUUAAAUCUAAUAUUGUUGUAUUGGGGUAGAGGUAGAGAAACCAUUGCCUGUAGUAACUUAGUAACAAUGGGUCUAUAUUAGUAGGGUUCUGAUCUGGGAAGAGGAUAUCAAUUAUUUACUUAAUAGAUAAUCAUUUACCACCUAUUUUGCUGAGUGAUUUAAUAUAGCACACCCUGCCUUCAAACUCUCUCUAUCCCUUUAUCCUGCUUUUCUUCAUGAAACGCAUGGUGGUGACUCACACCUGUAAUCCCAGCACUCUGGGAUGCUGAGGCAGGUGGAUCACUUGAGCCCAGGAGUUUGAGACCAGCCUUUUUAACAGGUGGCAUGUUGGAGCACGGGCCUGAGAAACAGUAUAGCUAGGAGGGGAAUUGAGUGUGAGACACUGGAAUCAGGCUGCUUGGAUUCUGGUCCUGGCUCCACUGUACACUAAGGCUGCAACCUUGGCCAAAGACUGUCAAGUACUUUGCAAAGGAAGAUAAACAAAAAAUGCUCAAUAUUAUUAAUUAUCAAGGGAAUGCAAAUUAAACCAAGAUGAGAGACAUCCACUAGAAUGGCUAAAUUUCUCUUGCCUGAUUGCUCUGGCUACGACUUCCAGUACCAUGUUGAAGAGGAGUGGUGAGAGUGGGCAUCCUUGUCUUGUUCUGAUUCUUAAGAGGAAUGCUUCCAGCCUUUGCCCAUUCAGUAUGAUGUUGGCUGUGGUUUGUCAUAUAUGGCUCUUAUUAUUUUGAGGUAUGUUCCUUCAAUGCCUAGUUUGCUGAGGGUUUUUGUGGUUUUGAUUUGCAUUUUCCUGAUGUUAUUUUUUUAAUAUACUUGUGGCCAUUUGGAAAUCUUCUCUGGAGAAAUGUCUGUACAGAUCCUCUGCCCAUUUUAAAAUUGGAUUAUUUGUUUUUUUAGCUCUUGUGUUGUUUCAGGACCUGUUUUGGACUUCGACUUCUGACAAUGUAAUACAAUCAAUUUGUGUUGUUUUAAGCCACUAAGUUUGUGGUAAUUUGUUGUUGCAGUAAUAAGAAACGAAUACACUACUUCAUUAGAUUACUGUAAUGAUUCCAAAAUUUAAUAGAUUAUGAGAAAGCACUUUGUAAACUAAGUGCUCUGCGGUUAAUGUCCCAAGGUUAAGAUAUUCUGUUCUCUUUGUCAGCAUAAACAUAAAAAAAUCCUUCACAGGGCGGGCGCAGUGGCUCACGCCUGUAAUCCCAGCACUUUGGGAGGCUGAGGCAGGAGGAUCAAGAGAUCAGGAGUUGCUAAUAAAAUAAAUGGAAAAUAAGAUUAAAAAGAAACUAAAAAAUACACUUGUUAUCAACAGUGGAAGGAAGUAUGAACAUGUUCAUUUUAAAAAAUGGUUUAUAUCUGAGAAUCAAUAGAUAUAGUCAAGCUGAUUUUUUAUCAGUUACGAUUUCAACAAAUGAUGCAAAGUUCUGACUAUAACCCUUCAAAAAAUGGAAAACAGAUCGUAAACCUUUUAAGUUGUCAGAAAAAGAAAAUACACAUACGCACACACACUCACACACCCAGAACACAAGACAUUCCAUUUAACAGAAAAUAGAAAAAAAAAAAGGAUAUGUAGGCAACAAAAAUAUGCAAUUAGGAGGCAGAAUAAAAUCAAGUAUAUUGAGAUAAAUCUACUUAUUGAAAUAAAAAAGACUCAGUUUCUCUAAAAAUGGCAAAUCCCAAUUAAAUGCUUAUGUACAAGUGACAUAUCUUGUAGGGGAGAAGAGAUUCCGUUUCUUGCCCAUAGAUAGGUUUAUGCCUGACAGUCCUAUAACAAAAGACAGAGUAACAAAAGAAAAACGUACAGAUUUAUUCAAUAUAAAUUUACAUGAAAAAGAGCCUUCAGAAAUGAAGAACCAAAGAAACAGAGAAAUGUGUAUUUUUAUGCUUAAGGUUGAUAAAAAGUGGACAGUCAUGUAGAAAUACAAUUGUCCAAAAAGGAGUAUGAUCUGAAAUGACUGAACAUUAAUAAACUGUAGGGAACUUACCAAAGCCUGUAUGUUCCGAUUCUUCUUGGUGUCUCUGUCUUUGAGGGUACUUCUGGAAUGAAGGUUCUUAUGACCUACUUUAUAGAAACGUCAGAGGAUUCUUUUAUGGCCUGCUUCAGGGGAGAAGGGUGGGAGAAGCUUACAGAGUGAACUUCCUGUUUUUGCUGUUUUCUGAAAUGCCAAGAUGCCAUAUUUUGUGGUAGUGUGUUCUGAACCCCAUCAAUCUAAAUGAGUGGUUUUCAAAGGGCAAGCAGUUAGGAGGUGAUUCUGCCUCCCAGGAGACAUUUGGCAAUGUGUGAAGAUGUUUAUGACUGUCAUAACUGGAAGUGGGGGUGCUGCUGGCAUCUGGUGAGCAGAGACCAGACAUGUUGCUAAACAUCUUACAACACACAGAGCAGCCCUCAGAACAUAAUAUUAUGCCAUCCAAAUGUCAGUAGUGCUGCUUUUGAAAAACCUAGAUUAAAAUGGAGUGUCUAAAAACGUUGAAGUACAAAAAAUCACAGCAAGCAAAUUAAAUUGCUGGAGUAAUAAAUUUGUUACUAGGCAAAAAUGUUAAAGCAUAGUACAGUACUUUGUGAUAUUGUAUUGAUAUGCAGUCAAUAAUGGAGAUGAGACUGUCUAUAGUCUUUUUGCAAUCAAUAAUAGGAUCAAAAAUAUUAAGCAUGCAUUAAACAAAUGUGAGGGGAAAUUAACCAAGACUCAAGAGUAGGAUAUGGGUGUGUGUAUUUCAAGCACCUAGAACAUCUACAAUAGAACAUAUGGCAAAAAUAAUAUAUAAAUAGUUUAGUUUGUUUUGUUUUCUCUUACUCGUUACCAUGAUUGUUUAAUGGCUGAAUCUAAAUAAUUCCUUGAGUUCUUAUCUAUGUUAAUUUUUGUUGGCAUUCAACCUUGUACUGCCCCCUUUGGCUGUCUUAUUCAAUGUCAUGACUUUAUUUGUCACAUCCAUGAAGAUGAUCCCAGCUCUGUUUAUCUCUCCCUAAGUUGACUUCUGAGCUACUAAUUACCUGCUAGACAUUUCAAUCUAUAUGUCUACAAGUAAG
rnacentral:lncRNA from 1 species